ensembl:lncRNA
AGACUUCCGGCCCCUCCCCCAGCCCUGGGAGCAGCCGGAGCCCUGUGGGUGCAGUCAGAUCGCGAUGGGAACCAGCCAUCACAUCUCUGGUGGGUUCACAUCUGUGGGGCCAGCACAGCAGUUACAGCAAAGCACUCUCCAAACAUUCUGAUCUGAUAAACGGGGAGCUCUGUGGGCCCGUGGAACAGUCACUAAGGUUAAGUUCUUGUUGGUUUCCCCACCCUAAACAGUCUCUUUCCCCCGAUACAGACAGUCCCGCAGGCCUGCUGACAGGAAAGCUGCGGAACCAAGGGAAGCAGCUUCUGACUGGAAAAGUGAAAGGAGCCAAAAGCCAAAAGGCUCAGAUUACUUGUAGGGGCUGGUCUGGGAGGCCCUCGUCCAAGCUCUCAGCUCAGAGGAGAUGACAAAGAGACUGAAGACAAGGAAGGUGAAAUCGAACCUGUCCUGGCAGUUGCUGAUCCAGUCGCCACCGCAAGGAGGAAGUCACUGCUGCGUGUGCUUCUGAAACUUCCAGCCAAGACCCAGAAUCGCAGAGUGGGGCCACAGCUUCUAGGCCAGCCAACAGGCAGCUGGGAACCAUGGGCUUCAGCAGGCUGCCCUGGAGUGGGAGGCAGGGCCCCUGCACCUCAAGGCUGCCGGCAGCACCUGGAGGACGAAAGACAUUGAUGGGAUUUGCAAGGCCUGGGGACCUUUUAAUUCACAAGGAGGACCAACAGAAGCAGGAAGAGCACUGACCAGCAUGGCCCAGUGCCCCCAACCUGUUCCUGACUGUACCUUGGGCUCUAAGCCUUCCUGGUCCUCCACAGAGUGUGCAUGGAAGGUGUGGAGAGGCCACGACACAGUCCACAUCUCAGGACAUAACCAGUGGUGUCAGGAAAAGGACGAAGUGUAGCCAGCUUGAGGCCAACAUUUUAGCUCAGUUUUCACAAGGUCACCUAAUCUUUAAAUCGGAGAGGAUGGCAGGUGCUUGAGCUAUCCAGGUGUGAUCCUUGCUCCAUGGCAUGAGCUCAGAGGUGCUGCAAACCACGGCUCUCAAAUCUCCCUUCUACACCCCUGUCCCAACACCUGACAUCUAGACCAAGAAGGUCAUUCCUUGAGUCACAUGGUUGGCAAACAGGUGUUAUUGCAAGUGCCAACUCCAAGUUAUUGACAUUAGAUUUUGUUUCAGAAAGAUUCUCAGGCCUUUUCUGGUCUCAGCGGGAUGUUUCCAAUCAAUUAGCAGUGUCUGCAAUGGGCACUGGAAAAGAAGUGCCAAUGGUUUUGUACAGAAUUACUGUCCUUAAAAAACACUUUAUUUUUAUAUUUACAGAGCAACUAUAUGGCCAGUAGAGAAUGCGUGAACUUGUAAUGACUAACAACCAUAUCAGGGCCUUGAGGGCAUAGGAGGCAGAACAGGGACUUUAUUACUGUUAUUAUC